CUGGGGUCUUCAUCUGUGCAGCUGUAGCCCUCCUGGAGGUGGAUUGUGGAGGUCUAUGCUAAUCAUGUGCUUCUUAUGAGUGAUGGGAAGUGUGGCUGUCCUUGGUGUGCUCUGAAUGGAAAGGCAGAAGACCGGGAAUCACAGAGCCCAUCCUCAUCAGCUUCCAGGCAGAAGAACAUUUGGAAAACAACUAGUGAAGCAGCGUUAAGUGUUGUUAAUGAAAAAACACAGGCUGUUGUUAAUGAAAAAACACAGGCGCCUCUGGAUUGUGAUAACAGUGCUGAUAG
rnacentral:lncRNA from 1 species